rnacentral:rRNA from 1 species
CGCAUGGUCUGCUGGGAAAGCCUUUGCGGCAUGGGAUGGGGUCGCGUCCUAUCAGCUUGAUGGCGGGGUAACGGCCCACCAUGGCUUCGACGGGUAGCCGGCCUGAGAGGGCGACCGGCCACAUUGGGACUGAGAUACGGCCCAGACUCCUACGGGAGGCAGCAGUGGGGAAUAUUGCACAAUGGGCGCAAGCCUGAUGCAGCGACGCCGCGUGAGGGAUGGAGGCCUUCGGGUUGUAAACCUCUUUUGUUAGGGAGCAAGGCAUUUUGUGUUGAGUGUACCUUUCGAAUAAGCACCGGCUAACUACGUGCCAGCAGCCGCGGUAAUACGUAGGGUGCAAGCGUUAUCCGGAAUUAUUGGGCGUAAAGGGCUCGUAGGCGGUUCGUCGCGUCCGGUGUGAAAGUCCAUCGCUUAACGGUGGAUCCGCGCCGGGUACGGGCGGGCUUGAGUGCGGUAGGGGAGACUGGAAUUCCCGGUGUAACGGUGGAAUGUGUAGAUAU